rnacentral:rRNA from 1 species
GACGAACGCUGGCGGCGUGCCUAAUACAUGCAAGUCGAGCGCAGGAAACUGACGGAACUCUUCGGAGGGAAGGCAGUGGAAUGAGCGGCGGACGGGUGAGUAACACGUAAGGAACCUGCCUCAAGGAUUGGGAUAACUCCGAGAAAUCGGAGCUAAUUCCGGAUAGUUCAACGGACCGCAUGGUCCGCUGAUGAAAGGCGCUCCGGCGUCACCUUGAGAUGGCCUUGCGGUGCAUUAGCUAGUUGGUGGGGUAACGGCUCACCAAGGCGACGAUGCAUAGCCGACCUGAGAGGGUGAUCGGCCACACUGGGACUGAGACACGGCCCAGACUCCUACGGGAGGCAGCAGUAGGGAAUCCUCCACAAUGGACGAAAGUCUGAUGGAGCAACGCCGCGUGAGUGAUGAAGGUUUUCGGAUCGUAAAACUCUGUUGUAAGGGAAGAACACGUACGAGAGGAAAUGCUCGUACCUUGACGGUACCUUACGAGAAAGCCACGGCUAACUACGUGCCAGCAGCCGCAGUAACAC